rnacentral:lncRNA from 10 species
CAGGAGAAUCGCUUGAACCGGGGAGGCGGAGGUUGCAGUGAGCCAAGACUGCGCCACUGCACUCCAACCUGGUGACAGAGCGAGACUCCAUCUCAAAAAAAAAAAAAAAAUUAUGAAUCUUACCAAAUUCAGAGUAUUUUAACCUCAAAUUUUCCUAAAAAGAAACUUUAUUUCUAUUUCUACAAACAACAGAAAACCAAAGAUUGGUAUAAGACAUGAUACAUCAUAGUGGCUAAAAGAAUGCAAAAUUUAAGAAAUGUGGAAUCUGAAUUCUCCUGUAUAUGGGGCAUGAAACCCUCUUUUCUCCCCAGUUCCCGGAGUGGGCCCUAGGAAAAGGUGGCUGCUGUGAAGUGUGAACAGGCAGCUUAUAUUGGCUCUGCAGCUGGCAGAGUCAGGGCCUCCCCACCAGGAGGUUAAGAGGAGCUUGAACGAUGUUAAGAAAAGGGAAUUACACAAUUUCUUUUCAUGCCUGAUUACAAGAAAUAAUGUCUGGGGACUUUUUGGCAAGAAAAAUUAAAAAUCUUCUACGUUUCAUGGGUUAGUGAAAAGAAUACUAAUUUUCAACCAAGUUAAGGAGGACUCAAGGGCUGGCUCUACCUCUUACAAGCUGUGUGACUUUGAACGAUUUGCUUAACUUCUCUAAGCUACCAUUUCUUCACUGAUAUUUCCGUCACUUGAGGAUACUUUAACAAUGCAGGUGAAAGAGCCAGGGAACCACCAUGCCCUCCCUUUCUUGUCUAACCUCUCAGGAUAGGGACCCUAGGGGCCCUAAGACAGCAGUUCGGAAACUCGAGUAUACCAAGAAUCACCAGGGACACUGAAAAACAGCAUUCCCUUGUUUUGAUGCAGUAGGUCAGCAGUGAGACCACAGGCCAGAUGCCUCAGACCCCACUUGGAGGAGCACUGCACAAGGCCUUUCUAACAUCACCCAUGCUGGGCCUGAAACCACACUUGAAUUGUAUGUCUGUAAAUUAAAUAUACGAACCAACAUUUUCUCCUUUCCUUACAUAUAUUCACAUUGAUCAGGGCACCUAGUAGACCCUGCUUGCUUCAUUGCAGAGUGUUUCAUGUGACAUUCGGGCACUCAGGGUGUACUGCCAGUUCCACAGCACCCUCCUUGUCUGGCCAGAUUUAUGCUGCCACCAGCUGCUUCCAAAAACCUAAAUCACGCCUUAGACAGUCUGCGUAGAGGGGACCUGUUGGAACUCCCAUGUCUCCCACUAAGGCCCAUGCCUGUAGCACAGAGAGUCUUUCAUACUGAACCUGGCUCAGAUAGCAUCUCCUCAUCAUAAGUGCCAGACGGUCACGGUGGACUCUCGGGACCUGUUUGAGAAAUUAUAUUUUUGGUCCUGAAUUAAAGGAUUGCAUUUCUCCGGAAGGCCAGCUGUUGGCUGACUCCAGUGCCAAGAAGACGCUCUUCGAAGUGUGUUCCUGUGUUUCUUUACAUCGUUGCUAAUCCUCUGGCUGAGGAUCAGCCAGCAAGUCUCACUAGGGGCUUGUUUACUGACUGAUAGGGCAGGACCCUGGUAUCUGCUCUGUUCAGGAGUACCUCGAAAACCAAAGAAUACACAGAGUUCUUCAAACAAGGGCAACUUCCACAUCAAAGGGAAGCGAGUGUCAUUUACUAAAGCCGACAGAGGCCUCCCGGUCAUUCAGGGUCUUAGAAUAAAUGAGAUGUGGCUCCCAUCCACCCUUCCUCUGCCCUCAUCCUAUUUCAAAUUUGACUCCAGUCAGGACUAUAGGACCUGGUCCUGCCCCCGGCCCCAUAUCCCACACCCUGGGUAUUGGGUCUUAGCCACAGACCACUCCUCCAUCCCAGCCCUCCAUCAGAACAGUCUCCUGCUCCGGGACCUGCCAUCAGGAUACAA